GAUGAACGCUGGCGGCGUGCCUAAUACAUGCAAGUCGAGCGAACGGACGAGAAGCUUGCUUCUCUGAUGUUAGCGGCGGACGGGUGAGUAACACGUGGAUAACCUACCUAUAAGACUGGGAUAACUUCGGGAAACCGGAGCUAAUACCGGAUAAUAUUUUGAACCGCAUGGUUCAAAAGUGAAAGACGGUCUUGCUGUCACUUAUAGAUGGAUCCGCGCUGCAUUAGCUAGUUGGUAAGGUAACGGCUUACCAAGGCAACGAUGCAUAGCCGACCUGAGAGGAUGAUCGGCCACACUGGAACUGAGACACGGUCCAGACUCCUACGGGAGGCAGCAGUAGGGAAUCUUCCGCAAUGGGCGAAAGCCUGACGGAGCAACGCCGCGUGAGUGAUGAAGGUCUUCGGAUCGUAAAACUCUGUUAUUAGGGAAGAGCAUAUGUGUAAGUAACUGUGCACAUCUUGACGGUACCUAAUCAGAAAGCCACGGCUAACUACGUG
rnacentral:rRNA from 1 species